rnacentral:rRNA from 1 species
CCUACGGGAGGCAGCAGUGGGGAAUAUUGCACAAUGGGGGAAACUCUGAUGCAGCAACGCCGCGUGAAUGAAGAAGUAUUUCGGUAUGUAAAGCUCUAUCAGGAGGGAAGAGAAUGACAGUACCUGCCUUAGAAGACCCGGCUAACUACGUGCCAGCAGCCGCGGUAAUACGUAGGGGGCAAGCGUUAUCCGGAUUUACUGGGUGUAAAGGGAGCGUAGACGGCGGGACAAGUCUGAAGUGAAAGCCCGUGGCUCAACCGCGGAACUGCGUUGGAAACUGUAAAGCUGGAGUGCUGGAGAGGCAGGCGGAAUUCCUAGUGUAGCGGUGAAAUGCGUAGAUAUUAGGAGGAACACCAGUGGCGAAGGCGGACUGCUGGACAGAAACUGACGGUGAGGCGCGAAAGCGUGGGGAGCAAACAGGAUUAGAUACCCGGGUAGUC